rnacentral:rRNA from 1 species
UACGAAGGUCCCAAGCGUUGUUCGGAAUCACUGGGCGUAAAGGGAGCGUAGGCGGCGUGGUAAGUCAGAUGUGAAAUCCCGGGGCUCAACCCCGGAACUGCAUCCGAUACUGCCAUGCUUGAGGGUUGGAGAGGUAGCUGGAAUUCUCGGUGUAGCAGUGAAAUGCGUGGAUAUCGAGAGGAACACUCGUGGCGAAGGCGAGCUACUGGACAACAUCUGACGCUGAGGCUCGAAGGCCAGGGGAGCAAAAGGGAUUAGAAACCCCCGUAGUCC